ensembl:lncRNA
CGCCGGCCUCCCCCGGGCCGCGGUUGCGGGCCGUCGCCAGGAUCCCUGCGCUCCGUGCGACUGCGCCUGGCCUUGUAGUUGCUUCCGACCUAGGUUCCGUAGCCAGAAAGACUGUUCCUGUAAAGGUGCCCUCACUCACUCUCGGGGCUCGAGGCAGCGGACGCUGGUGGUUUUCUCAUUCCAAGAAGGAAGGACUGCCUGGGCGCACUGCCCCGCAGUCGGUGAAUAUGGGUCUCUGCUGCUGAUUUUUUGUACCGCAGAUGGAUGCCUGUUGUUAUAAAUGAUAGAAAACGCGAACAAAGCUGAUGGUAAAGUCACAGCCUUUUUGGAGUAGUGCUGAAAUACUCUUCUGAAACCUGGUGCCUGGGGCAAUGUGAUGCUGGGGUUUUUUAUUACUGUGGGAGAGAGCAGUGUGGUAAAGUUUAAUUCUGUGCUAAUGUAUCUCUUCCUUGAGUGCAGUGUGCAGGCAGCCCUAAACAGAGAAAUGCACUGCAUUGAUAGAUGCCUUUGAUGUGAUUAAGACAUUCCCGGUAAAUGAUUCACCAGAUGGCACAUCAAAGGAAGCUGCUCAAAUAGCAUUUCAGUGCUUCAGAUAAUCUCUGAAGUGUGUGGGCUACCGGCCGGGCUGCAACUUCUUGCUCAGCUUCUUUGUCCAGUGUCACCUUGACUGGCUGCGGCUGCCCAGUUUGUUGCGAUGUGGUACAGAAGCACGAGGAGGGACAUCCAGGGGGGAUAGCUUUGAACCAUGCUCACCUCAGGUCCUGGGGUUCCUGACUGUUUCUUUGUUGGAGGAGAACUUCAGCAGGACCAGACGUACAGCUGUGACCCUGCUUUGGCACCCAUUUUCUCAGCUGCUAUUCCUUGUUCCAUUAUCUUCUCUGUUGUCUCCAUCCUGCACUACUUCUCCAGGUCAAUACUGAUGCUGGGGGAGAUGCAGAUGGAAGUGAGGUACGCUCAGCCUGGUGGGCUGCUGCCUGGGGAUCCAUCCACAUCUGGCAACACUGACCAUAAUGUGAGCCUUUGUGGUCCUGGGAAUAGCAAACAUGGAUGGCUGUGAGGAAGCCAGGUCAGCUGCAGGCUGAACUAUGUGGCCUAGAUCAGUUACAUCCGAAGUACUCAGUAAUUCUCCAUCCAAGAUUUCUCUAACUUGUACUGUAGAUGUUUGUUUUGCUGGAUUAGGAUUCUAUUCAUCAUCUCCUGGGUAAUCCCAUCUGGAUGUGCAGUUCAGUUGUUUUUUCAGUAGUCACUGAGGAGCAGUCUCACCUUGUGUGUGUUCUGCAGUGGAGAACGUGCAUCAUCCAUUACAUGUCUGAGCUUCAUCCCCUGUGAUUUAAAUCUGGAGUGGGUAGAGCCCAAUGCUGUCGCUCACAUAAAGCCCAAAUGUACACAGCCAUAAUGUAUGACUCACCUCUGAAAUUUUGCCAGGUGCUGGGGAGGCAUUAUCCUAUUUAUUUGUAUGCAUCUCUUUCUUUCAAGAUCUCUUUUAAACACUUUGCAGUAAGACUUCCAGAAGGGUAAAUGUUAUUUAAGUGAAGUCAGCAUGUCCCAGCCUGCCUGCUGCAGUGUGGAAAAUGUUCACAAUAUUCAGCUUUUUCAGGCAGUGAUCUGUACUUGCCAUGCCUCGUCCGAUAGCUGCUGAUUUUGCGUGGAAACUGAUAAGCAGACCUCUUCCUGCGUAAAUCAUACUUCAGAAGAGAAGUAAAUUUUGUUUGGUGGACAAUUCCGCUUUACUGAAGGUGGCUGAGAGAAACCAGUUUGCUCUGCAAUAACUACGCAUGUUGUUUAUCUUCCAAUUUUUUCCCAUCCUAGACAAGGAGAAUAGAGCUGGAUCCACUACGAACAGCUUCGCUGCAUUCAUCAGCCUCUGCUCUCCCUUGUUUGCUCACUGGUUGGUUUUGAAGAGGAGUGUCGGAGAGAUAGUAGGUCCUGAAGGCUGUGUGAUUCAGUGCUUCUAGUGCAGUGUGAGACUGGAAACUGAAUAUGUCCUGACUAAAGGAAAAAAAAAUGGAGUUGUGCAGCAUGGGCCUUCCUAUCAUUUCCUUGGAUUUCUUGCAGCCAGGUGGCUGUUAGGCUUGUCCCCAUGAAGAGCCUCCUGAAGUCAGUCCCAGAAUCUGCAGUGCGUGACGUGACAAAUGCUUCCUGUUUUGUCUCUUUUGAGGUCUUGUGGAGCGUCUUCUCAGCUGGAGGAAGGCUUCUCGUUGAAGCUGCCAACCACCUGUGAGGAUCCUUGUCCAAUAGGAGGCUUCUGAGGAACGUGACUUUGCCACCUGUGUGAGGACCACAGCUGAAUCAACUUCAAAACCAGUGCCCCAGGUCUCCCAGGCAGAAGCAGAGGAAUAUCUGGGAUUGGUCUACCUUGGCUAACUGUGCUUCAUAACUUGUUUGUGCAUGAGCAUCUUGAAAAGAGAGAGGAUCGUGGAACUGCAGUUUGAAGUCACACAGUGUCAUUCAACUUUUAAUGUUCUCAGGUUUGAACUCAGAAACUGUUUUCCAAAUUCACGUGGCAGUGGAUUUUUUGCAACUUGUGAUUUCUGUUACAAAACAUCCUUGGAGUGCAUUUAUCCCACAUCUGGUGUCUUUAAGGGACUAAAGUAUUUCAGUUUGAGAUGGGACUGACUUAAGGUUCCAAUACUGGGCAGAGAUAGUUUCUGUACUCUUAUCUGGGAAAAGGAAAACUAAUUCCUUGUUCUUUUUCAUCCUUUUACUGUUUCUUUUGGAAAUCCAAUGGGAAUAUGAAGUUGUUGCCAAAAUAGUUCAUUGAGGCCCCUUGUAUUUAUGUUUAAUUAGUGGUGCCAUAAAUAUUACAGAAAAGCAUCGCACAGAGGGGUGAGCCCAGUGCCAUUUGGAGCACUGGAGCAGCAGAAUGAGGGCUGCAAAAUGUUUAGUAAUGAAAUGAGAACAGAAGAUAAAGAAGCUCUCAAGGUAGACCUAAUCUGUGUAAACCUGAAAAAACAAGUGCUUAUGCUAAGCUACUUUGGCCUCUGUGUCUAAUUGUCAGAGAAAGGUAUGGAUGAUGCAUCCUAAAUAAUUUAGGCACUCGCACAUUUUGGGAUGAUACGUUCACUGUCUGAGUCCAUGACCGCCCUAGAGAAGAUGCCUGCUUUCAGACUGCUCAGAUGAAACGCAGCCUUCGAACUUUGCUUUUGUGAAGCCUUAGCAGGGUUAGGUGGUAGCUUAUUGCUGUUGGCUGGAUGAUUAAUUUUCACAUUAACCAGACAAAACUGAAGCAGAAAUGCAAGACAGUAAGUUAGUAACCUUGUUUAAUUUGUUUCGUAGGACUCAGUGUUGGCUUUCUGUCCAGCUAAACCAUUGGUUAGACUAAAUGACCCCAGCUGGCUGAAAUGAAGGGACGAGUUACUGGUGGUAACAGCUGUGCCUUUUAGGUUAGCUCGUCUCCAGUAAGUGUGCAGGUAAACACCCCAAAUCCCAGAGUUUCUGCCUGGUUAACCCGUGGUUUGCUUUUCAAUUUAAAAUGAACUCAGUAGAAACCAGUUAUUAAAAGCCUUGCAAAUUCUUUUCCAGGCAUCCAGUACAAACCUUCCUACAUUUCCACCUAGGUGAAAUCUGAAUAGGGAUUGAAUAGAUUUCUACUGGCACACUCUGAUGAUAUUCAAGGAGUAGGUGUAGCAAGCUGUGGGAACCAAGAAAUUAAGGAAAAUAUUGCAGCGCUGUCAAGAGUAGGUGUAGACAUUUUGUACCUGCUAAACUAAAGCGAUGGGCCUAGCAUUUAAAAUAAUAUGCUGAUGUAACGCUCCAGAGGAGGGGUGAUUUGGGCAGACAAUGAUCUUUCCUCUGCUGUGCCGUUUCCCUGACGCUAGAAGGAAGCUAAAUGCUUUGCAUUGCAAACAGAGUGGAAAAUAAAGGAUGUGCGAAGGCAGGAUUCAGCUGAAGAAGUCCUUCGUUUGAGCAAGCCCCGGAGGCAGGCUGCGUUUUGCUCACCCCGCCCAC